rnacentral:rRNA from 1 species
GACGAACGCUGGCGGCGUGCCUAAUACAUGCAAGUAGAACGCUGAAGAGAGGAGCUUGCUCUUCUUGGAUGAGUUGCGAACGGGUGAGUAACGCGUAGGUAACCUGCCUUGUAGCGGGGGAUAACUAUUGGAAACGAUAGCUAAUACCGCAUAACAAUGGAUGACACAUGUCAUUUAUUUGAAAGGGGCAAUUGCUCCACUACAAGAUGGACCUGCGUUGUAUUAGCUAGUAGGUGAGGUAACGGCUCACCUAGGCGACGAUACAUAGCCGACCUGAGAGGGUGAUCGGCCACACUGGGACUGAGACACGGCCCAGACUCCUACGGGAGGCAGCAGUAGGGAAUCUUCGGCAAUGGGGGCAACCCUGACCGAGCAACGCCGCGUGAGUGAAGAAGGUUUUCGGAUCGUAAAGCUCUGUUGUAAGUCAAGAACAGAUGUGUGAGAGUGGAAAUGUUCACACC